GAGGAGUCUGAAGAUUCAGAAGAAAGAGACCAUAUUAAAUUAGAGUUUGUACACAUCUGACAGGAAUCUGGGGUCAUUGUGAAAAGGGGCACAGAACUUGUGUCCUCCCUGUGAACAAUUACCCUACACAU